rnacentral:sRNA from 1 species
GUUCCAGCCUUUGAGAUCAAAGUUCUCUCAAAUCACAGGGCAGGUCCAUCGCAUGUAAUAACACAAGAUUCCCCAGUGGCCUCCCCCACAGCUUGCCUCUGUCCUGGGUUGAUGACACCACCUCUAAAGGUGAAAGAGGACCUCAUUUCCAUGGCCCAUUCAAUCCUUGGGAUUU